CCCUUAGAUGUUCUGGGCUACACGCGUGUUACACUGGUACGUCCAACGAGCUUUAUAUUUUCCUUGCCUGAUGAGGCUGGGUAAUCUUUUAAAUGCGUACCGUGCUGGGGAUAGAUCAUUGUAAUUUUUUGGUCUUGAACGAGGAAUUCCUAGUAAGUGCAAGUCACUAACUUGCGCUGAUUACGUCCCUGUCCUUUGUACACACCGCCCGUCGCUCCUACUGAUGAAUGGUCCGAUGAGUAUUCCGGAUGGAGACUGAUUUAGGCUUCGCCUUGCAGCUUCUCCAGAAGUUAUCCAAAUCUUAUCAUUUAGAGGAAGGAGAAGUCGUAACA
rnacentral:rRNA from 1 species